rnacentral:rRNA from 1 species
AAGCGUUAUCCGGAAUCAUUGGGCGUAAAGCGUACCGAUAGGUUGUUUUACAAGUCAGGGGGGAAAUCUCAAGGCUCAACUUUGAGACUGUCUCUUGAAACUGUAAAACUAGAGGGGUAAAGAGGAAGCUGGAACGAACGGUGUAGUAGUGAAAUGCGUUGAUAUCGUUCGGAACACCGAUAGCGAAGGCAGGCUUCUGGGUACCACCUGACACUGCUAGGACGAAAGCGUGGGGAGCGAAUGGG